rnacentral:rRNA from 1 species
UACGUAGGGUGCAAGCGUUAAUCGGAAUUACUGGGCGUAAAGCGUGCGCAGGCGGUUAUGCAAGACAGAGGUGAAAUCCCCGGGCUCAACCUGGGAACUGCCUUUGUGACUGCAUAGCUAGAGUACGGUAGAGGGGGAUGGAAUUCCGCGUGUACGCAGUGAAAUGCGUAGAUAUGCGGAGGAACACCGAUGGCGAAGGCAAUCCCCUGGACCUGUACUGA